GACGAACCGAGCGAACGUUGUUCGGAAUCACUGGGCUUAAAGGGCGCGUAGGCGGGGUCGUAAGUCCGUGGUGAAAUCCUCCGGCUCAACCGGAGAACUGCCUCGGAUACUGUGGCUCUCGAGGGUGGUAGGGGUAUGCGGAACUAUCGGUGGAGCGGUGAAAUGCGUUGAUAUCGAUAGGAACUCCGGUGGCGAAGGCGGCAUACUGGACCACUUCUGACGCUGAGGCGCGAAAGCCAGGGGAGCAAACGGG
rnacentral:rRNA from 1 species